AUCAUAUUCAAAACAAUUUCUAUUCACAAAAAGUAUUUACAAAUCACUAAACAUAUUUAAUCAUUGUAAAUUCAUGCACAGGGUUGGCAACACAUCAAAUUCACAAUUUAUAAUUUUCAAAAUCAUGCAAUAAAUUUUUGAAUGCAUAGAAGAAAACAUAAUUAAAUCAUACAAAGUCAUUCAAUGAAUUAAAGUUCUUGUACACGAGAAAAUACAAUUAUCAAGUUCAUUCAAAACCCAUUAUAGAUUCAAAACAUAGAAAUAGGCUUGUUGUGCACAAACCUCUUUAACUAGUCUUGACUUUCUCCAACUUUUCCUCCUUCCUUGGAUGGUUCCUUACUAACUGAAACAUAUAAUUAAAGUGUUUCAAUAUCCAUCCAAUUCAUUUUUAAUAAUUAAUCCAACAAUUAAACUUUGCAUAUUUAAUUUUACUUAUAAAUUCUUCUAAGAGUUGAGUUCUUUGUAUUUGGUGUAUUUGUGGUUACUAUUUACAUUACUAUUCACUUAAAAUGUUGACUUUUUCAUAAUUAAUAGGUAUACCAUUUAUAGAUACAUGGUUAUACCAUAUUUUGGGUCACAAUUUUGUUAGUAUUGAUUUCUAAUUGAAAUUCAAAGCCUAUUACAAUUAAUCCCAAAAUUUCAGAUUUGAUCACUAAUGUUUAUUGUUACAUUGGACCAAUCUACAAUGAAAAUUUGGCUAAACUCUCUUCAUCAAAGUUGUUCCUUAAUGUGUCUUCUUUAAUUCCCUUUUUGAAUCACUCCAUUUGAAGUUUUGUAGCCCAAGAUAUGACUAUUUGAAUGGAGCUGGCCGGAUUUGGUGUUACCCAGAAUUCUGGACAUUUUUUAGAUACUGGCAGUUUUGGUGUGCUGACUACAAGUGACUUUUCGGAUAAGUUAUAAUCAAAAUUUGGGUUUAUUUUCUUCAUGAAAGUUGUAGGGCUAUGUCUCAGCUUUCUACUGGUAAAAAUUCAGGUCAAUUGGACUUUUCUACA
rnacentral:misc_RNA from 1 species